GUGGAUGAGAAGUGUGAGGAACAAAUUGACUGCCACUGUCCAGAAAGUUAAAGCAAGGCACGGAUCCUUAAAAAAAAUUAAAAAUUAACGAAUAAAGACUGUACAUUUAGACAAGAAACGAAUACAUCCAAGCAAAGGGAAUGGAUGUUCUCUUCUGUUUCUUGGCUCUUGGAAAACUACCUAUAUUAACAUUUCUCGCUUUUUCUUUUGUACAACAACAAUGGAAAAUAAAUCUACCUAUUCAAUGUCUCUUUAGAAUCAAAGAUAGAUCAUUUUGUUUUCCUCUGUGGGUCUUCAUAUCUAUUCCAUGUAUUUGUAAAUUUUCUUGUUGGUUUUUUUUUUUUUAGAAAUAUUCUUUUGUUGUGUAAUUUUAAAAAAUGGUAUAUGAAGUGGAAAAAGUGGAUGUGAUUAGCACUUUUCUUUAGGAAAACAUGAACUCCGAACUUAUGAAGGGAACAAAAUACUUAAAACGUAACAUGAUGUACAUAUUUCUAUGAGAUUCCUGUACUUCUCUUUUCCUCCCCUCUUGGUAGAUUUGUGCAUCUAGUCUGGUUACCCGUGCUGUAUUUUAUAUUUUAAAUUUUUUUGCUUGUUUGUUUAUGUUGGUGUAUAUUUUUACAUGUUCCGACAAUGGACCACUUCCUUAAGGCAGUCGCUAGAGGGGGGAAAAAAAACCCCGAAAUUAAUAUUGUGCGGAGUAAACCGAUGUAUAUGAUAGAUAGCAAAUAAUUUAAUAGUUGGCCAAGCCUUUUUAUUCGUAUUUUGUGAUUACUAUUGCGUAGAAAGGGGGGGCAUUAAAAAUAACCUUACUGAAUAUAA